rnacentral:rRNA from 1 species
ACUCAAAGGAAUUGACGGGGGCCCGCACAAGCGGUGGAGCAUGUGGUUUAAUUCGAAGCGACGCGAAAAACCUUACCAGGUCUUGACAUGUAGGGAAGUCUGGUGAAAGCCGGAUGUGCCCGCAAGGGAGCCCUAACACAGGUGCUGCAUGGUCGUCGUCAGCUCGUGUCGUGAGAUGUUGGGUUAAGUCCCGCAACGAGCGCAACCCCUAUCCCUAGUUGCCACCGGUUCGGCCGAGCACUCUAGUGAGACUGCCUACGAAAGUAGGAGGAAGGCGGGGAUGACGUCUGAUCCGCAUGGCCCUUACGACCUGGGCCACACACGUGCUACAAUGGCUGCCACAAAGCGCUGCGACUCAGCAAUGAGAAGCCAAUCGCAUAAAAGCAGCCUCAGUUCAGAUUGGAGUCUGCAACUCGACUCCAUGAAGCUGGAAUCGCUAGUAAUCGCAGAUCAGCUACGCUGCGGUGAAUACGUUCCCGGGCCUUGUACACACCGCCCGU